rnacentral:rRNA from 1 species
AACGAACGCUGGCGGCAUGCCUAACACAUGCAAGUCGAACGAGACCUUCGGGUCUAGUGGCGCACGGGUGCGUAACGCGUGGGAACCUGCCCUUAGGUUCGGAAUAACUCCCCGAAAGGGGUGCUAAUACCGGAUAAUGUCUUCGGACCAAAGAUUGAUCGCCUUUGGAUGGGCCCGCGUUGGAUUAGCUGGUUGGUAGGGUAAAAGCCUACCAAGGCGACGAUCCAUAGCUGGUCUGAGAGGAUGAUCAGCCACACUGGGACUGAGACACGGCCCAGACUCCUACGGGAGGCAGCAGUGGGGAAUAUUGGAAAAUGGGCGAAAGCCUGAUCCAGCAAUGCCGCGUGAGUGAUGAAGGUCUUAGGGUUGUAAAGCUCUUUUACCCGGGAUGAUAAUGACAGUACCGGGAGAAUAAGCUCCGGCUAACUCCGUG